GAAAGCUGGGGAGCGAAUUGAUUAGAUACCCCAGUAGUCCUAGCCUAAACGAUGCAUACUAGGCGUGGGUUGGAUCGACCCGAGCCGCGCCGGAGCUAAAACUAAAAGUAUUCCGCAGGGGGAGUGCGCAGGGGAGUGUGAAAGUCAAAAGUAAAGGCGGGGGCCCGCACAAGGGGCGGAGUAUGUGGUAUAAUUCGAAACAAGGUGAAGAGCCUUGACCAGACCUUAGAUGUCGCGAAUUUUUCUGAAAGGAGAGAGUGCCUUUGGGGGCCCGAACACAGGUGGUACAUGGGGUUCUUCAGCUCGUUUCGUGGGACGUUGGGGUAAGUGCCGCAAUGAGCGCAACCCUCGUUUUUAUUUCCCACCUUUAAUUUGGGGACUAUCGAGAGACUGCCGGGGGCAAACCGGGGGAA
rnacentral:rRNA from 1 species